UACGUAGGGGGCUAGCGUUGUCCGGAAUCAUUGGGCGUAAAGCGCGUGUAGGCGGCCCGGUAAGUCCGCUGUGAAAGUCGGGGGCUCAACCCUCGGAUGCCGGUGGAUACUGUCGGGCUCGAGUACGGAAGAGGCGAGUGGAAUUCCUGGUGUAGCGGUGAAAUGCGCAGAUAUCGGAAGGAACACCAGUGGCGAAAGCGGCUUCCUGGUCCAGCACCGACGUUCAGGCACGAAAGCGUGGGGAGCAAACAGG
rnacentral:rRNA from 1 species